rnacentral:lncRNA from 1 species
UUUAUUUAGGUUUAGAUUUAACAUCCACGUUUACAUAUAUAAGAAUAUAAAGAUACAGACUUUUCUAUUUUUUAAAUCAAAUAUUUUAAUGAUUACAUAUUCGGUUAGAAGAAUAUAUGUAAUAAAUGAAAAAUGGAAAAUAUGUGGUAUGGUAUUAGAAUUUUAGUAUAUUGGUAUUACUAAUAUUUUUAAUUUAAAAAAUUACAAAAACACAUCAGUUUCUCGGUUCGGUUCGGUUUAAAACCGAACCAUUCGGGUUGGAGAAAUCUCCAACUGAAUGGUUUGAAAUAGACUUUGGUUCAGUUUAAAUCGGUUUCGGUUGGUUCGGUUUGACUCGGUUCGGUUCGUUUUUUUUUUUGCCCACCCCUAGCUAGCAUAUAGGAUUGAGAGUGAGAUUGAGAAUAUUUUUAAGUCUAAGCUUGUUGGGAAAGAAUAAAAGGAAGGAAAUGAACUGUAGAGUGCAGAAAGAAAAGAAAUUUGCUAGGGAGCAAGUGAAAAAAAAAGAGCUCUAAGUUUUAGAAAAGAAACUCCCCUUUGAUUCAUAGAAAAGAAAAAAAAUAGAAUGGGGCCAAAAAAAAAAAUUGAAAAGAGCCAAAGAAAAAUAAAAUCUAUCUCCCUAGUAGACUAGCAAAAGAAAAACUAAGUUCAUUUGGGUGAGUGAAUAGAAAGAAAAAUCUUCAAGUUUGGGGGUGAGAGAUUGAAAGUUUGACAUUAAAGAAAAGGGUAUAACUUGUUCAUAUCUUAGGAUUGGGUAGAACAAUGAGUAUCAAUUGUUGUAUGCAUAUAUUGUUCCAUUUGUUAGAUAAAUUUUGUGUAAGGUCAAUUGCUCCUUGUUCGAGAGAAAGUCACCCAAAACAAUGCACCACCCAUAAAAAAUCUUUUAACCCAACCAAAUGAGAGUGAUUGAUACUCCCUUUGCAAGACUGCACUUAUAUCUAAAAUGAAUGUAGGGAGUUGCUUUGAGGUUAUUGCUUGAGUUCAAUUUGGUCUUGGUUUCUAGACUAAAGUUUGAGUUGUGUUGCCAAUGAUGAAUCAUAUUGAUAGAUUGUUUAGGUGAUGCAAUUUAUAACUACUUUGAAGGACAUUGGGUUGAAUCUUGGAUGUGAAUUUGGUUGUUCUAAACCCCCUAGUUUC